CCUACGGGAGGCAGCAGUGAGGAAUAUUGCACAAUGGGCGAAAGCCUGAUGCAGCAAUGCCGCGUGUGUGAAGAAGGCUCUAGGGUUGUAAAGCACUUUCAAUAAGGAAGAAAAGCAUAUGGUUAAUAACCUUAUGUAUUGACGUAACUUAUACAAGAAGCACCGGCUAAUUCCGUGCCAGCAGCCGCGGUAAU
rnacentral:rRNA from 1 species